UUGCACGGUUGCACGGUUGCACGUGCUUUUUCUCGGCACGAUGGUUAGGGGUUUUAGGGCUACGAGGACACCGCAAUGCAGGCGACCGUGCUAGAUGCCGCAGGAUUAAUCCUUGAAUUAUUGAUGCCAUGGUCGUGCAGAUACAGAGAGCAGACUACUUACUAUUGUUUCGUGAAUCAGAAAUAAUUCAUGUCAUAUCGAUGACAACUAGAUCGAGCAGCGUACCUUUUUGGCUGAUCUUUCGGCAGAUAGUAGGUUCUAAGUGGUUCAGGUGCUCCAGUCGUGGUUGAAAACUGCAGUUCACGGUCCCAAGAGUGUACGGAUCGAACGGAUCGCCACACCUUGGAUCGUAUUCGCUGUUGCAUUGAUAACAUAUUAUUGCUUCACCUGGAAAACGAAUUUCGUGUUAAUUGUCACGAUCGUUCCGACGAUACCGAGCGAUCAAUGGACGAGAAUAUUUCGGAAGAAUCGGCCACGAGGUGAGCAACUCAAAUCCUGCUGUCUGAAGACUAAACUACAACCAUGAUCGCGACACGCGUUAAGCGAUGACUUAUUCAUGUGCACUUGACAUACGGUCUAACCGAAACGUUACAAUUCCAGCCUAAACUACGAUAUAACCAUAGUCUACGGCCUACGGACUCGGGCCGAACUACUCGGCCGACUCUAAUCUAAAUCCGACGCUCCGUUUAGUCCCAGAUACGUCGACGACGGCUUUAUAGGUGGAGUAUAGAUUUUAGUGUGACCCGAAGGGAAGAGAAAACGCGGCUUCGCGAAAGAGGAAGGAACUUUGAAGAAACAGGAACUGGCUUAUAGCGACAUAUCACGAAACGCCAGGCUACUCUAUCGAUUAGGAUAGCUUAGGUCAGGAGUCAGGACUUCGAAGAACAGCUGGAUCCAUAUUAUAAACCGCGACUCCUUGUGUUCUCCGCCCUUAUCGCGUGCCGCAAUUCUCUGAAAACUGGGCCACUAAUAUGCACGUGCUUGUCGCUAACUACGCGUGCAAUUAGUCUGUUGCCGUUGGUUAUUAAUUUGGAGAUCCGCGUGGAUAGAGACGCUACGGAACAGUCGAUGGUAUCAUCGUGAAUUCGCGUUGUCGUUAUCAUUCCCCGGAUGGUUAAUCGAGCUCCAGGAAAUUGUAGCGCCAUCGAACGUUCCGCACACGCGAUUCAAUUAUUUUCCAUAAAUGGCUCCAGGAAGUCUCCGUUAAUGGCUCCGAGAUACCAAGCAUUCGAUUUUCGGAAAAAUGGACGAUCAAUUGCGAAGACAGAGGGCAGGCGUCCGGCUUAUUCGAUUGUCGAGAGUUCGUUUCACGGUCCGUCUGGCGGGGUGCCGGCGAUUGGCUACGGCCCUGCCGCGUUGUGGCGUCACGACGCAACCCCAUUCACCCUCCCAGCGAGUCCGGUUACGGCACCAGCUGAUAUCGAGCAGAAAGACCUAACCCAGACCAAUGCGCGCGAUGACCUACUGAUACACUCGCGGUAAAAUAGAGCUCGUGCAUAGGCGAGAACGCCGGAUCCGCGGCGAACACAUUUUCUAAAACGCCGUCUGCAAAUUGUCCGCCAAUAUUUGCCAUUCGCAACUAUUCGGCCAAAUAUCCGGCCGGAACGGACCUAUGAAUUUACCUCGUAAACGUUCUAGAAAAUUCGGCCGCACUCGCGCAUCCCCGAUUACGUAAGUAUGACGACAGUCUGCGUUCUCCAAGGGAUGGCCGACGUCUCAUUGGUUUCUCGACGAAAUGCACGAAUCGUUCAUUCGUUGCGUGCAUUUCGAAUCGAGUUUAAAAACAAGUCGAACUUGACGGUGUCGCACAGGGAAAUCUUUCGAGUAACUUCAGUCGGGAAAAUUCAGUCGGGAAAGGCCGAUUAAAUUGGCAGUCGACCAGGAACGCACAUCCUCGAACAAAAGCUGGAAUAGAAAUGUUUUCGCGGAAAAACAUCGAACUCCCAGAACAGCGGAUUACCGUUAAUUGCAUUAGAUUCACGAGCGAGGAGAUUAGGUUCAAUACCGAUGUUCGUGUUUAACAGGGGCAUUUUUAAUAACAAAAUUAGCCUACUGUGGUAGAACGGUCGAUUUGCAAUCUAAUGUUGUACAACUUUUUGUUCGAUGCUAGAUCCCUCCGCGCAGCGAGCACAGCGAAUUUUCAUGGUUCUAAGCAGAAGAUUGUCGGUUGGAUAAACGAACAAUGGUAAAUAUUGGCAAGGUUAUGCAAAGAAGGGUCGGAACGAAAGUGUUGUUGGCAGGUUAUAGUUCGCUUAAAAAUUAGCCCGAGUCAACGAUGCACCCGUCGUAUGCAUUUUUAGCUCUCUAAACAAGAUAAAUGCGCAACGGCAAAUGUUAGCGACGUUGUGCAAAGAAGAGAAAGAAGGGAAGCUAUUUAACAGGCUCUAAUGCGUGUGUUGACGUUGCCAGCAGUGUAAUGUUUGGUUUCCUCGCAGAAUGCAGCGUAAAUUGUAUCGACUGACGGGCUUGGUUCCUUCACUGGCUUCCCUUCCUCGGAUUCGUUGAAAGCAGCGCCACGAAAAUAUAGCGGCCGCGGGGGUGGCUUGGCACCCUGACCUUGGACAAGUUCCGCAGGCCGUUCCCGCCCCUCUGUUCCCGUAGCUCUUCCGUAUCGUUAAACAUUCACGGAGGCACAACUAUCGUCGCGGCGGAACAAUCAAGAACGCGGCCUAAUCGAUUCAUUGGCGAUGACUCGAUCGUACGAUCAUUGCUUUUAUCUUCGAUGCUCUUUGAUAUAACCCUGGUAGAAGAAUGCAAAACUUCGUUCUCCAGAACACGGUUUAUGUAACGAUUCGUUUGCACAUUCGGUGAUUUCUCGUAUUCUCGACUCUGUCGGCCGGUUAAUUCGUCGUCGAUAUUUAUCGACAUUUUUCCCUUUAUUUAUUUACGCGCCAGGCCGGGUUAUCUCCGGCCAGAUGGCCAGAGAUAUCAGCUUAGGGGUCACGAAUGGUUGGUUCGAACAGCAUUCGCCCAAAUCCCGCGUUUUCGAAUAGAACUCGUUCGACUUUCCUGUCCACCAUGGAACGUGGCAUACUAAUGGCAUGCUAAAAUACCGGACAGAUCUCGCAGCAACCACCGAGUCGGCGGGGUUUGAAGAGGACAGAUCGAAGCGACGCGACGGCCUGCCCGGUGGUUGUCUUCGUUCGGCGUGAAAACAUUCGUCGGGAUUGUACGAUGCGGGAAAAAGCAGUUCUCAACGACGUUCGGGAACGAGAUGUUCGAUCAGCGGUAAAUAGGGCGACCGGCUGGCAAGGCACACGGGAGCAGAGCUGAUCGCAGAACAGAACUAGGAGCAAAAGUUGGUCGCGUCGCGUGAGGAACCGACGAAGGCUGCGUGACAUUGCGGAUCCUUAUGUAAUCAACGGGAACUGGAAACGAAAGGGAUCGAGCUCGUUCGUUCUCGUUCGUUCUCGUUCGUUCUCGUUCGUUCUCGUUCGUUCUCGUUGACACGAAUAUGCCACCGAUAAGAAACAGAAGUCGAUACGGUGGAAUCCGGAAUCCGGAAUCCGGUUAACAUCCGUUAAUCCGUUGAAGAAACUAGAGGAAUCGACCCCUCUGUCGCGGUCAAUUAUCGGACAUAGCGAAUCGACGGAAUAAAAAGCUCGAGCAUUCCGACGGUGGAGCGUCCCGAGGUUGUACCAUAGCUUCUCUUUUAACUCUGGUUUAACGGUAAUUGAUUCUGCAUUAAAACUCCAACGCGUUCCAGCCCGUUAUGAGAGAAGACGUUACGAAAUAGGGCUCAACUAUUGGGAUAGUAGAGGGUUAACGCUGUAACUGCCUUCUCGUUUAGCUCUGGUUAACGGUAAUUAAUUGAGCCCUUAAAGGCCGUUAGCUCGAUCGUCGAAACUACAGAACCAACCCCUUUGGUUACCGUCUAUUAUGAGGCAGGCGUAGCGGGCACGCAGUGAUCAGAGCUUACACGGGACAGAGCUUAAUUAUUACAGUGACAAAGGUUUGCAAUGGCUAGUUAUCCAGUUUCCGCUUUGGACGAGCGGGGCAGUGCCUUCGAAAAAUCGACUCGAUCGAGCCACGAUCUUGCAAACAUUUCAAAUGCCACCGGUUAUUUCUGGGUUUCUAAAAACCAGCGACAUUUAAGUAGAUCCCCGGUGGCCAAUCUGCCGUUUAACAUUAUUAGGCCAGGGUUUCAUGCCUCGUAGAUAGCCGUGUGGUCAAAGGCAUUUCCGGACUGCUAACUUUUUGGUGGAUCAUAGACACGUCGAGUCGCAAAAUAGCGUCGGGUGAAAACGAAACGGCCUGGAUAUUUUUAGCGGGCCGUAACGUAACGAAAAGUCUUGAAAACGUCUCGUUCGAUUAUCGGUCGGACGGUGCAACGUCGAAGAUACGGAAACGCUUCGAAGCCCCGCGCUUUUGUUGUUACUCGGCUUAGCGGACAUCUGUCGAGAUUUCUCUUCCCGACGAAUAAAGCUUCCGGUGUUCUCGACGAUGAUAGGUGUCAUCGCGGCGGCAGGAGCGUUUUCCAAUGCAUUUGCUCUCGCGCACUUGUCACGGACGAAUCGUGCCGAUCAAACGUUAAGUGCUUCCGCGGGAGCACGGCCGAAACUUUAAGCGUAUUAACCCUCGAGCGCCGACAAUCGAUCAUAAUAUUUCAACGUUUUCGCGCCAGCUUCGUAAACAUUAAUCGUUUUUGCAAGAACGCGCCCAUAACGAUUCUACCAGGCGGCAUAAACGAUUCGGUGUCUCUCCCAUGGUUCUCGGAAACAAUGUACCAUCGUUGUAAAUAGCUAAUUGCAACGCCGAGUCGUAACCAAGUUCGACGAAGUUGCUCGCUGUUUCGUUCGACCGGGAAGGUAUACGGUUGCAACGAUCGUACGCGUUCGCGUUUCGUAACGAAACGCGUGUCCUUUACGUCGAGCGUGACAAAGAAAAUUCAAGGAAACGAGGCGAUAUUGUAUUAACGCGGUUCGAAGAUCUGUCGAAGAAAGCGCGAGCCGGAUAAUUGCAGCAGAUUAUUCGCGAGAAUUCGAUUAUUCGUGAAAACAACGUCGUCGAGGAAAACUGAAACGCGUCGUCGAGCCGAGUAACGAACGUUGCGAAAGUUUCGUAAUAACGUAAUUCGCGUGCGGGGGUCACGGUAAUCUAGGAUUAAAUAAAUAAGAGGAGAUGAUGCGGGACUCGGCGAGACGAGGGACGGGGGCGAGGCGACGCAGAUUUUAUUAAAAAUUCGUCGAUAAGGCAAGGUUAACGUCGAGAAACGUCCCCUUGGUCACGGUACCACGCGGUGCAGGGAGAAUAGAAUUCGGUGAAGGAGAGUACGAGAGAAUGCAGCGGGAGGGAGGGGAGAAAGUGGGUCGCUCGAUAACCCUGGCGGGGCCAGGUUCUACGAUCCAAAAAUUCUAAAUUUCCAACAAACUGCGCCGAUCCCGAUCGAUCCCAACAAAAAUGGCCACGGCCCUGCUCUCCUCCGCGAAAACAUUUCUUUCCGCGUUUCGGCCUCCGCUGCGGCAGCCUCGAACCGCACGUCGAGGUCGCGGUCGCAGUCGCGGUCGCGGUCGCGUCGAAUCGCAGCCGAAUCGCGCUCGAAUCGCACCCGGCCGAAUUUUAAGGUCACCCGGUAACGAUUCGGCCUGCACGCGUCGCUUACGUCACCUCCGGGAAGUUCUACGCUUUCGUUUUCGUUUUCAUUUUUGUUCCCGUUGUUCGGCGUUCGAUCCACGCGUUCCUCGGCUGCGCGGCCGAUAGAAAAGUUCACCGCGGUUGCGUAAUCUUCCCGAUCGCGAUCAAUUCAUCGAAAAGAAUGCAGUUUUUGCGGAACGUCGAUACCGUCGCAUCGUUUCGUAUUGCCGCAUUGCUUUAAGCUGCGCGCGAGUGCUCCUUUAAUGGUUCGCGCUGUCCUCGAAAGCGUGCCCGUUCCUGCCGUACACACCCUACCGACCGUUUUCCUUUCAAAUUAGUCGCACGUUUUUGCAUAAUUCGUCGCGAUUGCUGGGACUGUCGGGGUCGAAUUCGCGCCGGGACCGGACAAAGCGAUCUCGGCGAAUCGAUCGAGGCAACGAACGAUCCAGCAACAGUUCUCGUUCGUUCCGCACGGUUCUGAAAUCCCAUCGAGCAUCGUCUCCAGUCUCGAAACGAGAAUGUCGGGUAGCAACGGAUCUGCUUACGAAAGCUCUCUCGCGAAGCCAGCUUGGAGUCCUCUUCAGCCGUUUCUCUUUCAGCACCUCGGCACCUGGUUUCUGUAAAUACCGAGCACAGAUCGCUCGAGGAAACUCCUCUCUUCUACCCUCGCCGAGUGUCUCGGCCCGGGAAUCCUCUUGGUUUCUUGAUUCGUCUUUCCCGCGCCGACAACUUCCGGCCGACCCUAUUCCUUUCGCGGGACGCCGUGCGAUUUACUUUUCUAAUGAGAUUCAAUUUAGAAAUUGAGUACACUCCGGUUCCGUGCAAGCGCCGCGGAAGUACCACAAGUGCGAGGCGUCGUACGAGUUCCCUGACGAGCAUCUGGAACACCGUAAUCCUCAACGGGACAGGAUCCAACCAGCCCGUCCUGGCUGCGAAGCUAAUUGCCCUCGUUCCCGACCAUUCGUAAUCCAAGUCGCCGUUCGACCAAACGAAAAUUCCUCGAGCCAGGAGCUAUCGGAUACCGUUGCCAGCGAGCCGAACCUCCGGGGUAUUUCGCGGCACGAGCCCCGUCGUCGAGCUACGGACGCUACUCGUAAAAUGCUUCUCUUCGGACAGAGUCCGGUAAACUUUUCUAAAUCGUUUCCGACUUCCUGGUAGAAUAUGGUCUGCUACUUGUGAAAGCAGAUCUUUCAAUUCUUCCUACGUGGAAUCGUAUCGAUGCGCUUCCAAUAAGUACAAUCCGGACGAAGAAUCUUCGUGAAUCGAUAGAAAAAGAGACCAGCACGCGAUUCUAAUAUCUGUUCAAGUAUCGUGCCUCGAUGUACGUUGACACAUUCGAUCGUGUCAACGAUAAAAGGAGGCGGAAGACGAUUCGAGACCGGAAGGAGACCAUGGAGGCUCCCGUCGUACUCUUUAUGUAACCGAAAAUCAAUAUCGUCUCCGUUUCGACGGGGCCCGCGAAAAAAGCAUCCCGUCCGAUUUUCCCUGGGCCGAUAAGCUCGAGGAAUUCGCGAGGAAUUCGCGGAUGCUCGUCUGCAAAAGCGAAUCUCGUUCCGAAUCGUUCGUUCUAUAGAUACGCUCGGUUUUCUCGUCACUACCGCAUUGCGCUCCGACCUGCAACGCGCGCGGCUCUUUCGAAAAGUCAAUCGUCCCGUCCGAUCGUUCUUCCGUUUUCGACGAACAAAGAUCGCCGGCCAUCUCGUACACCGAUCGAAAGGUUCUUCGUUUCUCUCUCUCUCCUCUUAGAGACGGGUGCAAAGAAUCAGCCAUAGGAAAGAAUGCCGUUUCUACGUCGGUUUGCAGGAAAACGGAACGGGAAAAAUACGUGAUACGAUUCUUAUUUCCGGACACAUGCGCGCGCCUCGGUUAGGAAAAUCGUGACGAAAACUAUACAGCGGGAAGAAGAAGCCUGUAGAUCGAUCGGUGAUUCAGUGUAGAUCGGAAACUGGGUCGCUAAAGUAGGACACGUCGUCCCGUUCCGCAGAUCGGUCUUCUACCAGAUGAAACGAUCGUUUACGACGGUGAUUGGGACAAUCGACUCUAAAGCUAGACGCUUUUGGACGCCACCAAACAAACGUUUACCGACAACAUUUUCACGAAACACUCUACGGUUUCCUAGGUUCUCGCAUGUGAUCUACGCGAUUAUAGGAGCGUCGCGAACGCGCGAUUCGAGGAUAAGGGAUCUCCACUCACCGUGAUCGACGGACGACAGCAGGACCACAAGGACGAGGGUGACGAUCGGCGCGAGACGGUUUCCAAUCAUGUUCACGAUUACCGGACCAUGUGUUUCAGCCAAUCACGUUGCAGUCAGUCACUUCGGACGUGUUGCCUCCACCCUCGCUGCAUGGAAAUCUGGCACGCAAUCGGCGGGCCCGAUCGGUCGGACAGUUCCCGUGUCGCAAAUCGGCAAAAUCGGCAAAAUCGGCAAAAUCGGCAAAAUCGAAAAAGUCGGCAAACUUCUUCGGACUCGUCUCGGGAGAAAUUGUUCUCGGUGGCAGUGUGCUCGACGAUCGGAACGAUCUUCCCCGUUUCCCACGUCCGAAAUGACUGAACGAACGCAACGGGGCCUUCCUCUUUCUCGCGUGGUGCACCGUGCGUGAUCACGGACGCGUCGCGUCUGACGAGCACCCGACGAGUUUCCGUCGGCUAUGCGGCAGAUCUGCCCCCUCUGGUUUUUCCAUGCGCUUUGCGACCACCCACAAUACCCCACCGAACCCCUCCCGUACGCCCCGUCGAACCCCGUGCCCCGUGCCCCUUGCCACGCCACGGCCACCGAGCCAAUUUUCGUUAUCAAAGUAUUCUGAUUUUCGCUGUUGUUGCUCUUUUGCACACACCGAACCUCUUCCCGUCACAGUCUUCUUCGAAAUGGUUAACGCGUCGACCGAAACGGUCGAAAUCACGAAUUUGUUGAAUCCUUCGUUUCGAAAUCAUCCAAACCGUAAUGCUGUAACAACGCUUUAUCGGACAAUUGUCCACUUAUCCCGGUCAAUGUCUUGAGAAAUGCGACUUUGUUGCUUUUCCAACGGAAACGAAAACUAAUCGCAUUUGGUCGUACCGUUAGUUGCAACGUUAAUCGUGCAGCGCGUUAACAAUUUCUCUUCCAUUCGAGUAUUCUGAAAUCUAUGUUUCUAGGCAAUCUCGAGCUACGUCGGAUUUUAAUAUAUAAAUUUUCUAAUUUGUCAAAAUCUCGGCUGUGUGUGUGUGUUUCUUCCCGUUAGGACUUGGGAAGACUUUUACAAAUUCACCCCGUCAUUUCAUUUUCUAAUUUCUUGCUCUCGCACGCACCCGAUCUGUUACCAAGCCAAUUUUCAUUAUCAUAUUGUCUCCUUGUUAUUGCUCUUUUUCUGUCGAGAACAUUAUUUUUGUUGCCGUUUUAUCGAUAACUUCGUUCGUUCGAAUGACAAUUUUGUAAUCGAUAUUUCCGUCACGUGUGACUAACGAACUACACAUCGGUCUCUUGUCACACUUUUUGGAUUUCUCGAAUAUCGGUGUGCGUAUUCUCUUCCGACACCGAGUGUUUCGGAAAAUCUUUUUGACAAUUUUAGAGACGCUUCUCGGUUCGGUUUGGAACGGUUUUUGGACGUCGGCAAGAUUUCGAUUUUCCUUGGAGAAUAAACUCGAAAAUUAUGUAAUAGCUUCAACGAUUGCCGAUACUAGUCACUGUAAUUUUCUGCGCAGUUUCGAAUGGAAACGUAACAGAUGCUACAUUUGCAUUCGAAAUACGGGAUAGAUGGAAAUCAUGCCUGUGUUCUGUCUUCUCACUGAGAAUUUCUAGAGCUGUUAGUGGUAACGGUCAGUCAUAGUCGCCUCGUAUACAGUGGUAGAUGAUUGCUACGGUCAGACGUAAGGGGAAACAGAUUCAAACAUGAAUCGUGAACUAUAACGCUAGCACGAUAUUUCGCCUAUUGUCGCACGUUAAUUUAUCAACGGAUUCUUUUUUUAUCGAUUAGAAUAUAAAAAGCGGAACAAAAUUCACUUGUAAAUCAUAAUUUUUCAUUUUCCAAUUAUAUGUUAUACGUUUAACAGACACUUCGAGCGCCAUCUAUAAUGAACAUCGUGAAUUGCUUACCAAAACUUCAUCUCUAUCGUAUCACGGACUGAAAAAGCAAUUUCUUUUCUGAAUAAUUGAGAAAAUUUGAUAACUUCAAUGAGAUUUCACUUUAACAAUACGUUUGGAUAAAAAGAUUUAUUUAAUAGGUUUGUUCUCGACAUUCAAUAUUUUAUUGUAAAUACACUAUAUAUAAAAUAAAACAAUAAUGACAAUGUACAGCGUAAUUAUACAUAUGCUUGUAAUUAGUUACUAGAUCUCUAUACAAGAAUUUAAGGCGGAUAUCAUGAAAUUAAAGUAUUUUCUUUUUCAUUUCAAUUUUCUGAAUUUCUUCAAAGGAAGAGGAAUGUCUGGCAACGUUACUAACAAAUAAACAUAUAACACGUCUAAUGCGAUUAACUAUUUCUUAUCGAGAUAUACACGGUAUCUAUUAAGAUGAUCGUCUCUCGUCGGCAAUCGUAAAUCAAUUUAGCUAAAAGAUUUGUGUGACACCAUGACACGAUACUUGUACAGGCACGUUCAGUAUAAGUACUAAUCCUAUUUCCAGUCUCCUAUAAUAAAAGAUAUUUAUAAUUCCUUAACAAGUGUAUCUCGUUCAACACAAACUAUAUUUAUUUACGAAUUACCAUAUUUGUAUAUAUGUAUAUAUACACGUAUAUAUAUAGAUAUAUACUUUCUUUUUUCUUGAAGUAAAACUACAAAACAUUGUUUAAGGCCAAUUAUUUGUUCAGGAACUAGUGUGCCAGAUUAAAAAACAAUACAGUUCCAGAUUAUAAAAUCGAAAACUGCUGUGUAGGGUCGGAUCACUAAAUCAGUCUACUUAAUGUAAUUAUUGCCAAUAUAAAUAAUAGGAAAACGUUGAUAAUGUAGUGACAAUAGAUUCCAUUGUGAAUUAAUCGGUCAAUAAGGUUCCGAGAUUGUUUGAAUUCGUUUCAAUUACGAGAAAACUAAUAAUGACAGAAAGAGACAUCACAAGUGGACAGAGUUAGUGGUCUACCCUGUAUUCUGAUUAAUUCUAAAAAAGCAAAUGGUGCAAUUAUUCCUAAUAUUCAAGAUCGUUCCUAUAUUAAAAAAAUAAUUGCAUCGGUUGCUUUAAUGAGAAUCGUCUUGCGUAUCUUGUACAUAAACGCGGAAAUUGCCUCCGAUUCGAAGCGCAGCUUAUGAUACAAGAAUCGUUUGGCAUUUUAGAGCUAAUAGUAACUCGUGUAACUUAAUUCUCAUGUUCGUCGGGAUGAUCCGUUUUAAUAUGAUGCGUGAACAUAUACUGUGUCGCGAAUCGCGUUUUACAAUAAGGACACUGGUAUGGCAUUAUCGGAUGAGCAGACAUCAAGUGUGCAACUGCUAAUUCUCGCAAAACGAAUGGAGAUUGACAUACUCCACAUCGGUAUCUAAAAAACAACAAACGACAUGAACAUUUUAUUAGUUGAACUAUCUUUAAAACUGAAUAUUACAAAAUCCUACCCGCCAGUUGUCCUAAUGAGAGUUCGUUUAAUAGGUGGCGGCGCACUCUCUUCAUUAAUUUCCACCUUCGGUUCAAUAGGCACUGAGUAUUCCAAUGAUAUUUCUGGACUUAAUUUUGGCAUAGGUUCAUCUUCUGACUCGAGUUGCACUUCGUCAUCUUGGACCUGUGCGACAAAAAGAGAAUUCGAAUUGUUCAAUAUAUAAUUAUGUUUAAACGGAACGAAGACAAUUUAUAAAUAUUUAAAUUUACAAAAAUUACCGCUGAAUGCGAGCCUUCGGUGUGCACCUUCAUAUGAGAGUUCUUCGAUUGAAAACUAUUGAAGGUUGCAUUGCAUUUGGAGCAUUUGUACUUUUUACCAGUACCCAACGACGUUAAGGAUUUUUGUGAGGGCUUCGUGGAGACUCCCGACGUGCAAUGAUGAGUCAACAGCGUCACUUCUUUGAAAAAUAUCUUAUUACACUUCAAACAGUGAUAUGUUUUAUCGACAAUGUGCGUUUUCUGAUGUACUCUGUACAAACUCUUGUCGGAGAAUGAUUUAUCGCACACUGAGCACGUGUACGUCAUACAAGACUCGUUGCGUUUAUGAGACGUCUAUAGUUUAAAAAAAAAUUAAAUAAAGUAUAAUACAGCAGCAGAAACGAGGAGAUGUUACACAGAUGAUUAACGUGUACCUCGUGUCUCAACAACUGCCAUUUCUCCUUGAAAGACUUUUUACAUAUGUGACAAGCGAAGUUCUUGCAGGUAUGGUUCUCCGAGUGCGUUUGUAAAUGCGUUAACAUUGUAGUAUGAUCACUGAACCAUUGGAAACAGAUGCCACAUCUCGCCACGUUUUUAAAUUCAUUGGAGGCCCUUUUUUUUGCAGGUGGUUCUUCGUGAUUCGUAGUGUUUUUCCUCUCCGUCUUCUAAAAAUUAUGGUACUUUAAAAUAACUUCCAGUUACUUUGCAAACAAUAUUCAAUGUCUCUAAGCCCACCCGUACUUCCGAAUAUGUUCUGCUUCUUGCACGAGUUCUAGCUUCCCGUGCUUCUCUUUCAGCAUUCAAUGCUUCUUCUUGCUCAACACUGGCCAUUACUGGAGAUAUCGAAGGAUGCUGACUAUGCUCGCUCAUUCUAUGCGCUGCUAAACGUAUGAGAAGUCCGAAACAUCGUCCGCAUAUAUCACAUUUGUGUUGUUUAGGCUGAUGGGUACGCAUAUGAUUCGACAACGCGCUUUGUUGGGUACAAACCUACUCAUAGAAAAUUUCAAUUGGAUAUGCAAACUGUUUUCAUUAGAUAUUUUCAAAGUUUCCUACCUUUCCACAUGUAGGACACGCGAGCGAUUUGGUAGCUUCAACAAUAUGCUCUCUCUUCGCUUCUUUCGGAGGUUCCUCAACAUUGAUAACUGGAGCUGCUUGUUGAUCUGCCAAUUGCGACGCUCUAACUGGCAUAUAAUUAUUAGUUUCAUGUAACUGAG